UAAUAAGUGUUUUAUGGCACUUUUUUAAAUCCAUAUCCACCUUGUGUGCAAUGUCAGUCGAUCUUCUUCAUGGAGAUCGACCAAACAUCAACCUUUAUCUUUUAACUCUUUGUCUGAAAACUAUUAUGAAUAAACUAAUUCAAAAUA
rnacentral:misc_RNA from 1 species